rnacentral:rRNA from 1 species
UACGUAGGGUGCAAGCGUUGUCCGGAAUUAUUGGGCGUAAAGAGCUCGUAGGCGGUUUGUCGCGUCCGCUGUGAAAACUCGGGGCUUAACUCCGGGCCUGCAGUGGGUACGGGCAGACUAGAGUGCGGUAGGGGAGACUGGAAUUCCUGGUGUAGCGGUGAAAUGCGCAGAUAUCAGGAGGAACACCGGUGGCGAAGGCGGGUCUCUGGGCCGUAACUGACGCUGGAGGGUGCGAAAGCCGUGGGGGAGCAAACAGG